CGCCCUUUAGACGGGGACAACAUUCCGAAAGGGAUGCUAAUACCGGAUGUGACGCUCCUAUCGCAUGACGGGAGCGUGAAAGAUGGCCCCUACAUGUAAGCUAUCGCUAAAGGAUGGGCCUGCGUCUGAUUAGCUAGUUGGUAGUGUAACGGACAACCAAGGCGAUGAUCAGUAGCCGGUCUGAGAGGAUGAACGGCCACAUUGGGACUGAGACACGGCCCAG
rnacentral:rRNA from 1 species